rnacentral:rRNA from 1 species
UACAUGGGGUGCAAACGUUGCUCGGAAUUAUUGGGCGUAAAGCGCACGUAGGCGGUUCGUUAAGUCGGAUGUGAAAGCCCUCGGCUCAACUGAGGAAGUGCACCGAAACUGGCGAGCUUGAGUACGAAAGAGGAUCGCGGAAUUCCCGGUGUAGAGGUGAAAUUCGUAGAUAUCGGGAGGAACACCAGUGGCGAAGGCGGCGAUCUGGGAAGAUACGUGACGCUGAGGUGGCGAAAGCGUGGGGAGCAAACAGG